UCAGUGUUUUCUUAACUUUCCGCAAAGAGAGAGAGAGCGAAAGAGAGAGAGACAGCACAGUCGAAACAGAGAGAGAGGGAGAUAGCGAAAGUGAGCCAAAGAGAGUGGUGAUUCCGUUUUGCUGUGAGGAGGAAGAAGAUCUGCUUCAUGGAUAGCUCUGCCGUCUACCUUUUGGGGGUAUUGUUCGGUUUUGCUGUGAGGAGGAAGAGGACCUGCGUUUUGAGCCAAGGAGAAGAUGAGGGAUUUGGGUAUAGGGUUGUGAUCGAUACUUAGUUUUUGGGCUCCAAGAAAACAUAGCGCACACGUUAAUCCAUCAGAUAAAAGCUUUUCAACUUAAUUUCAGAAUCAGGGUUCGCGUUUUGAGAAUCUGGAGGCCAAGGAGGUACAACAGCGAGAUAUAUGACGGUCUUCAUUACAUCUUGGUCGAUGAAGAGGCGAUAGCUUAUGGAUCUGCGAAGCUUGCAGAUUUUGGAUUGGCAAGAGAGGGGGUUCGAUCUAUAGUCUAAAAGAGAGAGGGGGAGAGAGAGAACGAUUGCACCCACCCAGAGGAAGAGAAGAAGAAGAAGAAGAAAAGGGGGACAUGAAGCUCUCAGGGAAAUCACUGGUCCGGGCAAUCCAAUACUAAGGGAUUGCCCAGUAUGGAAGCUGCCGAGCUCUUUUAUCAAAUUAAGAAGUAGAGGUUUUCACAGUUUCGUGAAAUUGUGUUUACAAAGAUUUAAUUAUAUCUGUGAUGACUUUGCAAUUUGGGCCGUGUGUUGCAGCUGCUAUAGAUGAAUGAAUAAAGGAGGGGCGCUUGAACGUAGUUUGCGAGAGAUUGCAUUAUUCCCUGAGAUUGAUAAGAAGCAGAGCUCUACGCAACCCAUUUCGAGUUGCAGAUGUCACUCCCAGACAGAGUCAGAGAUGAUACAGAGGACAGAGAACAAAGCUUAAUCAGACUUGAUUUGACAGAGAGGCGGAGACAGUGCAUGCACUACUAGGAAAAGGGCCAAAGGCCACUGAUUUCUUUCUCCUCGUUAUGAAUCAUGAUUAUGGGCUUUUCAUCAACAAAGGACAAGGAGAUUUCUUUCUCCUCGUUAUGAAUCAUGAUGAGAUGGUUGAAAUCAGUCCUGCAGGAAUAAGGAAGUCCAAGAUUUUACCUUCUGGAUAUGCCGUCUAGAGAUCGACCCAAAUGUUGUUUGAGUCUUCUGCCAUGAUGGAGCUUGCUAAGUGCUAUGCAAAUACUACAAGAUCGUAUAAGCUGAGCACCCGCUUUUCGUUAUGAAUUGGGAGAGUAGGAAUUCAGAUGGAUCUGAUAUAUGAAAGUCACUGGUAUUUCAAGAAGAUGAUGUUCUGCUAUUCAGAUGGAUCUGAUAUAUGAAAGACACUAAGUCAAGAAGAUGAUGAACUUGCUUGUGCACUUGCCAUGCUUUUGUGUGAUUCGGAGCCUGACAGAUGAAGGAAAUGCCUUGAAGAAGUAAAGUUCAAUUUGCUUCUAUUGAGGGGUUGUUAUCUACAUGCACAAAGCUUCCACAGAUGAAGGAACACCUAGCUUUUCCUGUGGGAAACCUUCUUGUGAUGGUAUGCUCAACGUAAUUCAUUGUUCAAAUGAAAGAAUCUAGUUUAUUGGUAGCGAGCAAACAUCUAUUAGAAUUGAUGAGGUCAAGCAAAAUAAGUUGCAGUCUGGAUUAUCUUUGAAGCAUAUAGAAAAUAAAGAGCAGAAGAGGAUUGUGCUUGUUUAGGAAUCAGUUUCCUUCCGAAACAAUGCAUACUGUUCUUCCAUCGUGCUCUACUCUCACUAAAGCUCAAACAUUUUUAGUUAGUUCUCUUGACGCUGUUGGUUUAGGUUUGCUACUCUCUUUGCCAACAAGUAGCCUCUUUUAUGGUUUUGACAAUCCAAAAUAUUCUUGAAGAUUGUCAAAUGGAAGGGUUUCUUCCUGCAAUUUACAAGCAAGUUUAGGUUCUGCCAUUUUGCGAGACUGGGUGAUAUUCAUAUGCGCCUCUCCAUUUUGUGGGACUGCCUAGUUGUCAAGUGGAAAUGGUUUGUGUGAGGCUUUGCAUUGUUUUCCUAAACGAUCCUGACAAAGAUACUCUACAAAAAAAAAAAAAGGAAAAUGAGAAGAAUAAAUCUUUGGAGAAAGACGAGACAAAUUUUGGAUGGGAAAGCUGCUGUUGAAUACAAAUCUCAGUAGCUUCUGGACUGGAUAUGUUGAGGUCCAUAAUUUAAAGAGUGCUAAAGUGGAUUGGCAAUAUUCCAGAGUUUUGUGUGAUUGAGCUUCUUCUAGAUUCUCUGUCUAAUGUUCUUUGAGAGAUUAUCUUGGUGUUGACGUGCUUCAUGAGACCCCAUCAUCAACUGACAUGGAUGUUAAUGCUCCUGCUAUCAAUGGAAAACGAAUAGCUAUUGCUUUGUCCUCUGAAGAUGGUGGAGAAGGUACUCAAAGAAGAUUCUGCAUCAUUUGCAAAGGAAGUGUUGAUAGUGAAAAAAAAAAAAAACAGAUGGAUAUUGGAAGCAGAAAUUAGCAAGCAGGGCUAUUAUUCCGGUUCUGAGAAACUGGGAGUGGAGGUUAAAAAAGUUUUGGUGCGUCUCUGCUUCCCGUGGUGUUGUCCAUGCUUGAAAUGAAGACCCAAAUAGGAAGCUGCUACAUGGUCAGUAUAUGAGCAUCUGGAUUGAGGGAAAACGUGCCACCAAUGUGGUCUUUGUUCGAAAACCAUUACUUUAAAUUUAUUAGCUGAUUAAUCGUUUUUUUUUUUUUUUUUUGACCUUUUUGUAAAUAAGUCAGUACAUCAUUUUAGGGCCCAACAAAAAAAGAAAGAAAACAAAAAUGGUUACGUUGGGCCCAACGAAAAAAGAAAGAAAACAAAAAUGGAUACGUUGGGCCUAAUGAACUCACCUAUAAAUA